AGUGUAAAGAAUUCUGUUUGAAUAAGAUCUAUUAGCGCACCCGCUUAAGCUUUUGUAGUCAACGUAUCAACAUCAAAUAAAAUAUGGAUGAACUGCAACAAGCCGGCGACGUCCUUGGAUCAGCAGCCGACGCAUCAAAAGCACUCGGAGGACUUUCAAAAUCUCUUCCCGGUAUGGCCAAGUCUGGAGACGGUGGUUCCGCCGAGCCAGAAACCUGCUCCGCCUGUAACCAGAAGAUUAUCACCAGUCAGCCAGAAGGAGGCGUUGAUGUAGCCAAAGCCGCAGAAACAGCCGGAAGUGUAAUGGAUUGUUGCUCCAAAGCAUUUGACUGCUUCGGAAAGGCAAACGAUAUGGUAUCACAGGUGCAACAGUGAGAAGACUCCCCUAAAACAAACUUUUAACUUAAAACAAAUUUCAUUACAAACAGUUCUAGCAAAAUUUGUGACCAUCAAACUAAGUUUCUUCAAAUUUAACCUUCAAAUUGAUUUUUAACUAAUAUUUGAAAUAUCAUAUUUAAUUUUAUUUAUGCAUCUUCACGUAAUGCACUUUUAAACCACUGUUUACAUUUAUAUGUUCCUUUUUUUAAAUGUUUUAUAUAUAAAUAGAUAUAUUGCGUAUCCAGCACUUUGGUUUUGUGUUUCUGACAAUUUAUAUUCGUGAAUAGGUGUGUUGAGUUCUUACAAACUUUGUAAUUUGUUUUUCCCUUAUGAUGUGUUGCUGGAGAAAUCACUUUAUAAGAUAAUGGCGUCAAAGGGAAUAAAAAAAGCCACAACAUCGCG